UACAGAGGUGGCAAGCGUUGUUCGGAAUUACUGGGCGUAAAGCGCGCGCAGGCGGUCCUUUAAGUCUGAUGUGAAAGCCCACGGCUCAACCGUGGAGGGUCAUUGGAAACUGGGGGACUUGAGUGCAGAAGAGAAGAGUGGAAUUCCGCGUGUAGCAGUGAAAUGCGUAGAGAUGCGGAGGAACACCGAUGGCGAAGGCAGCCCCCUGGGCCAACACUGACGCUCAGGCACGAAAGCGUGGGGAGCAAACAGG
rnacentral:rRNA from 1 species